rnacentral:lncRNA from 1 species
UGGGUUCAUCUUCAUGAGGUGUAAUGGCGCCGGGAUGCGCUCUCCUCUUCUCAUUUGCCAAUUUAUUGCAGAUCCCUCCUCAAAAAAGUUUUGGGACUAACUCAGCCCCAUGGAGAUCAAGGUGAAUUAGAAAAACAACAAAACAAAACAAGAUUCAUUUUAACAUCUCAUUUUUCUAUCUCCAACUUUCCCUCCCCUCCUCCCACCCCAGGAAGAAAAGACUACGUUUGUUUCUGGUGAUACAUUCAUUGUAGGUGGGUGGGUGACUUCUAGAAGAGGAAAAUCAAGAAGAUUUGGAGAAGGAGUCUUGGAAGCUCUGGUGAAGUUUUCCAAAACUGGGAAGGACAGAGCCACAGGUCUGCCUGUUCUUUUGCUUUGCCAUUUGUGUGGAUACCUAGUAGAGCAAUUUGGGUGCCAUUCUUUGAGGAAUCCAUUGGAUCUGUCAGAAAGCUGAGUCUGCUCAGCCUGUGUUAGUGGAGAAGAGGGAAGGAAACUGGCUGGAGGCCGCUGGACCCACAGAGGACAAUAGACAAUCUCCUGCUUGGAAGAAAAAGAAAAUGAGACCCAGAAGACCCAAAUCACAAAUCAAAAGGACCUCACAGAAGAUUCUACAAUUGAGAUUAUUUAUCCUGGCUAAGAAGGAAUCAGUGGCCUUAAGAAGACAAUCUUGAAAAAGGACCUAAGUGAUGGAUGCCCACUGGAUCCAAAGAGAGAAACUCUAUAGAAUUAUGAUCUAGGUUUGACUGACUCCUGGCAAGAAGCCCUACCCGCCAGCCAAUUUGGAUGAGCUCUUAUGCUCCAGAUCCAUCAUGAGAAGAACAUGCCCUGGAUUCCUGCUAUCCCUUUAGCCAUGGCUCCAAAAUUAACACACACAAGGAAGACCUGAGGUCAAUCCACAGCCUGGAUUCAAGUCACCUAAUACAUAGGAGAAUCAGAGCUACCCAGCCACACUCAAUCUACGUUAACUGAACCUCAGCUGACCUGCAGAUUUAUGAGUAUGAGAAUAAAGGCUUGUUAAUGUAUAUCA